rnacentral:rRNA from 1 species
GAUGAACGCUAGCUACAGGCUUAACACAUGCAAGUCGCGGGGCAGCAUGGGGGUUGCUUGCAAUCCCCGAUGGCGACCGGCGCACGGGUGAGUAACGCGUAUCCAACCUGCCCUUCACCACGGGAUAACCCGGCGAAAGUCGGACUAAUACCGUAUGUUGUCCAUUGACGGCAUCCGAUUUGGACGCAGGGCUUGGCGGUGAGGGAUGGGGAUGCGUCCGAUUAGCCAGACGGCGGGGUAACGGCCCACCGUGGCUACGAUCGGUAGGGGUUCUGAGAGGAAGGUCCCCCACACUGGAACUGAGACACGGUCCAGACUCCUACGGGAGGCAGCAGUGAGGAAUAUUGGUCAAUGGGCGUAAGCCUGAACCAGCCAAGUAGCGUGCAGGAUGACGGCCCUAUGGGUUGUAAACUGCUUUUAUGCGGGGAUAAAGUGGCCCACGUGUGGGCUUUUGCAGGUACCGCAUGAAUAAGGACCGGCUAAUUCCGUG